UGGGGGAUCGUCUAAGGGUAGGACGUCAGAUUCUGGUUCUGGCUGUGAGGGUUCGAAUCCUUCUCCCCCAGCCA
rnacentral:tRNA from 2 species